rnacentral:rRNA from 1 species
AUGGCUACAGGGUACGAGAUUGUCAGGAGGGCAUAUACUUGUGCUGUAAAUUUGUCAUCCAACAAGGUGAUUGGUCUUUGCAUAAUUGUGAACUGGUGUGGUGAGCCUCCCCUUCGUUGCUCUGGUUUACCAACGGCAGUCAUAUCUUCUGAGUUUGCUUUGCUUGGUUUGUACAGACAGAUUAAUAAUUUUUUAGAGCUACUUGCUGAACUUCACCUUGUAUCUCCUCUGAACUUUCUGUUUAGCUCUCUAUUCAGAAAUCGAUUGUGGAGUAAAUGCCCAGAACUGUAUGAGUUUAUGAGCUUUCCCCCUGCAUGCCAAUGA